rnacentral:rRNA from 1 species
GAUGAACGCUGGCGGCGUGCCUAAUACAUGCAAGUCGAGCGAACGGACGAGAAGCUUGCUUUUCUGAUGUUAGCGGCGGACGGGUGAGUAACACGUGGAUAACCUACCUAUAAGACUGGGAUAACUUCGGGAAACCGGAGCUAAUACCGGAUAAUAUUUUGAACCGCAUGGUUCAAAAGUGAAAGCCGGUCUUGCGGUCACUUAUAGAUGGAUCCGCGCUGCAUUAGCUAGUUGGUAAGGUAACGGCUUACCAAGGCAACGAUGCAUAGCCGACCUGAGAGGGUGAUCGGCCACACUGGAACUGAGACACGGUCCAGACUCCUACGGGAGGCAGCAGUAGGGAAUCUUCCACAAAGGGCGAAAGCCUGACGGAGCAACGCCGCGUGAGUGAUGAAGGUCUUCGGAUCGUAAAGCUCUGUUAUUAGGGAAGAACAUAUGUGUAAGUAACUGUGCACAUCUUGACGGUACCUAAUCAGAAAGCCACGGCUAACUACGUG